GUGCUCACAUCAGCAGCACAUAGCUAAAAUUGGAAUGAUACAGAGAAGAUUAGCAUGGCCCCCAUGCAAAGAUGACAUACAAAUUUGUGAAGGAUUCCACAUUUUU
ensembl:snRNA U6 U6 spliceosomal RNA